UUCCACCAUGAUUGUGAGGCCUCCCCAGCCAUAUGGAACUGUGCCUCACUCUAGUCCUGACCCUGUUACCACCAAAAUAUCCCCACUGAGGAACUUCUAGUGAAUAUAUUUCAAGAAGAAGGGAACUAACCCCAGGAAGAAGACUGAAAGCUUCAUGAGGAUAAACUGAGACUCUUCGCUAUUGAAAUUCUAUUGCCAGGCGCAUCCCCCAGCCCACAGUGAAUGGAAUUGGAUUAUUCUGAAGCACAAUCAGUAUUCCAAGUACAUGGUUUCUGUAAUGGGAUAAUUGGCUGCCCCUGGUCCUAGACAACACCUGAAGUUUAAUUUCUCUGAAAGGCUCUGCCUUGAGCUUGCUUUAAAACCUGCAAUUAUAAGGAGACACCUAAUGAGACCAGGAGGAAACUUCUACACCGCACAGCUAUUUUUAAAAAAUGGGAUUAACAGGAGAAAAUGUCAAACAGGGGGAUCUCCAUGUUUCUGCAAUGCAUGACAGGUUACCCAGCGUUCCAAAUAAGCAUGCUGUCCUUAGCACACAUCUGGUGGGCUGCAUUCCUGGGGUCCCUGGGCUGUCUGACCUUGCCUGAGAUGUGUGACUGGAUCUCAUCUGGCUGGGGGUCCUCUGGCUGGUGCUCCCAAGCCUGGAAUGCCUCCUGGUCACGGUCAACAGAGAAGUGCUCCAGGAAAGGUCACGGAGUUUGGAGGCAGAGCUCUGACCCCAACCCCUACACGGCAGCAUUUCCAAGAGAGGUUUGUUUUCCUCCCCAAGCACAUUAUGGGUAAUGACUUGGAUUGUGGAAAUUGCAAACAGCAUGUGUCAUAAUGAAUAUUUUGACUUGGAACACAGCAUUCUCUGUGAAUCCUAAUGUCUGCAGAAACUCAAGGGGUGACAGAAAAAUCUAUCAUGAAAGUACCAUUCACACAGUGUAGCUAUCAAUGGGAAUUUAAUUAAAGAAACAUUUAUUUAGUGCCUGCUGUGUACCUAGCACCAUGCUGAGCACUUAGGAUAUGAGGAGGAGGAUGGGGGUAGGAGAAGAGACAGAAUCAAUAUGUAAGUUUAUGAGUAAACACAGGUGCUUCUGCACAGAACAGUGCAGAAGUAGAACAAUGACCAAUGUGGUAGAAGCCGAUUGGGACUCAGGACCUAGUGUUUCCAAGAUGAAUCAGCAAACACCCCGAUCCAGUGGCUCAUUUCUAAUCAGUCUGCCUCCAUUAAUUACGAUCCCCACGGCUCACUGUCUUCUUGGCUGAAGCAAACCCCCAAGAGUGUAACUGCUCUAACCGAAUAACUGUACUCCCCUACUUCUGGGAGGGCAAAACCAAGAAGGUGAGGGCAUGUGGGGAGGAGGAUAGGGGUGGGAGAGAGGACAGAGAGAAUCAAUACAUAAGUAAACCCAGUGGCCUCUGCACAGAACUGAGGAUAAAAGUAUUUGCAUUUUAUAGGGCUUCUGUAUGUGUGUUGCGUUUGACCCUCACAAACAACCAAAGUAGCUAUUACUGUUUCCUUUAUACAGUUGAGAAAACUGACAUUCAGAGAGGAGAGGUACAUUGUCAAGGUUCACACAGCCAGCAAACCUCCAAACCAGGGCGGAACGAGGUUUUCUGUCUGCAGCCCUGCAGGCUGCAUGCUCCAGCAGGGAGCUCCAAACUUCCUCCAUGGUUCCCGCAGGGUCCUUCCCCAUCCCGCCUGCCCAGGGCUCCUCCUCUUUCCUGGGGAGAGCUCACUGCAAAGUCAGUGUCAUCUCACGUGUUGAGGAAGUGACUGCCCCCUCUUCUACCCAUCAGACAUGAGAGCACUUGUUUGUUAUCUGAUAACUGAUUUCACUCCCAUCCCUUCAUGUCAAUAACUUCACACAAAACGCCCUACAGCUGCUGAAAGCACUGAGUGCAAGAAGGCCAGGUGAACUGGGGGAAAUAACGUCCUGCUCACAUACUCCUUAAAUUUCUAUGCUAGCUACUCAAGUUUUAUGGAGUUAAUUUAAGACGUAUACCCUGCAUUCAUUCAAAAGGUUUGACAUAGCGAGUUUGGAUGCACGACAAAUUGAUAUUCAAGGAUGAAACAGAAUAAACAUCACCUAAAAGCAAGGGGCCCAUGAGCUGAUUUCUAUCAUCUAAUGCUAAGCUUUUUGAAAGCCAAGGAAAGUUUUUGAAAUGUCAUCUUCCAAUGAAAGAAGAAAUGCAAACUCAUGUCUUGGAAUAGGGACUAAACUCAAGCCUGGACUCAUCACAAGGGUCUUUGGAUAAAAACUGAUCUAUAACCCAAGGGGCCACAGCUUGGAGUGCAUGGACACCCCUUUUAUCCCAUCCCCCACAGGGUGCCCCACUUCUCCGCAGACAGUCACACGGCAGGAAGGAGUUUCUCACCUGAGACCUUGGUGACACCAACUCCACAAGAGAAAGCAGAGCCCAGAGCAAAACAGGGAGCUGGGUCCAAGUGUGUGAUCCAAGGAGGAGACAGAAGCAGAUUGCAGCCCUAGAAGUGGAGAGGCAGGGGGCUGGGAGCGGGAGCUGUCGGUGAGGAGGGCACACUGGGCAAGGUGGAAGGGCUGAGCUGCGGGACGCAUCAGAUUCCAUGGACCACUGUGGUGACGUGAUGGGCAGGGAGCUAAACUGAAACUCAGAGGUGCAUUUCUACUAAGACCGGGGUGCAGAAUCCCCUGGUGAUUGAGUCAGAGUGAAGACAGAUUCUGGAGAACACAGACGCUGUCCUGCGCUGCACUCACCCCACUUACGUGUGGGCUGAGUCCUAAGGCCAUUGAUCCAGGCCAAAGCCCUGCCCAGCUUUACUCCUUGGGGCUUGAGACGACAAAGUCCAGCCCUGUGACCUGGUUGCCAUCUCUCAUAGCCACUGAAGGGCAGGAUAAGGGUGGGGGUCAGGGAUGGGAAGUCCCACCCACAUGCUCCUGUCCCAAGCCUCAGGGCACACUCCACUUGGCCCCCAGCUCAGCUAAGACUAAAUUCUGGCUCCCGCCCCAGCCACCCAUCCUUAGUUUUAGAUGUAACCAACAAAAAGAAGUGAAUCAAGUGUCUUGAACCAGAUGCUCUCCCCGAGCUCUUCCCUCCCUCUGCCCACAGCUCAGGAUCUCUUCCUAGGCUAUACUUGGGAAUGGCUCAGUGCCAUGGGCCCCAAACCUGGCUGCACACUGGAGCUAUCUGGGCUGCUCAUUGAUGGUGCAGAUGCUAGGCCCCUCUACAGAGCUGCUGAUUCUGUAGCGUCAGGCCUGAUGCCAGCAGACAUGUUUUGAGUGAGCAAUCCAGGUGAUUCUAAUACAUGGUCAGGCUGGGGAAUCACGUAUCCAAGGGCUAAUGUGCGGUUUCACCACCUACCAGCUGGUGGUGUUAGCAGGAGCCUCUACUCUUUGCCCGGCCACAUUUUUCCUGUUUAUAAAAGUGCCCUGGAUAAUGUCUGAGGUCUGAGCUGCCUCUAACCACCUGUUUGUCCCCAGGGUGGCCUCACUGGUGCCUGUGGCCCUCCUUUCUUCACAUUCCCCUGGGAGCUGGUCUGAGGGGAGGAGAGGGCAGAAGCCCAGGGCUGGCAGGGCACCAGCACAUCCCCGACCUCCUGGAGACCUCGGCCAGGUCCCUUCCCCUCUCUGGGCCUCGGUUCAGGGUAAACCUGUGGGGAGGUCAGCAGGUAACCACCCCUUUGUCUUUCCUUUUCUGGGGGAUGUUUUUCUGGGCAGAGAGCAAAGCACCCUGAAGCAAAGCCCAGAACCCUGGGUGGGAGUUCACCCUUGUGGCAGUGAGGUCUCAGAGGACAGCUUGUGGGGGGUGGGCUCUGGGGGGUGGGCCUUGCCCUGCCAACAGCCAGCAGCUGACUGGAGCUGUGUGAGUUGGGGAAGGGGUUUUGCUCUGUGUCCUGCCCAACCCAGGAGACCUAGAAGGCUGGGCACAAAGGCGUGCCCACUCCUGGCUCUGCUCGUCCAUCCUUCCUCUAGUGCCUCAGUUAGGGCCCAUAGGAGCUGGGCAUUCCGGACGGGGAACCUGUAGAAAACGCUCCCUUGAGCUCUGUCUCUGUAGAGCUGUCUAGAACAGGAGAGAAGCUAAACCAGGUCCCCCACCACCACACCCAUGAAAUCUUGAGGCGGCUCCUUCCCAUCUUGAUUUUGCGUCCAUUCUCCAGCUCUGCCCACCCUCAGAGGCCUUCCUGUCCUCCCUGUCCUCCCUAGCUGGUGCUCCAAGCCUUCUUUUCACCUUCCUGUGUGUGAGGGGGUAGUCUCAGAGUUAACUGAAAUAAAUCUGAUUAAAAAUUUCACACUAGGUGUAAAUCACUUGUUAAACUAGGGGUUCUCAAACUGGGUUCCAUAGACAGAAUUCAAUCUAUGAAGUCGGAUGGAAAAUUAGGUCUUCAUUCUCACUAACUUCUAAUUAAAAUUUAGUAUUGGCCAGGCGCGGUGGCUCAUGCCUGUAAUCCCAGUGCUUUGGGAGGCCUAGGCAGGUAGAUGACCUGAGGUCAGGAGUUUGAGACCAGCCUGACCAACAUGGAGAAACCCUGUCUCUACUAAAAAUACAAAAUUAACCGAGUGUGGUGGUGGGUGUCUGUAAUCCCAGUUACCUGGGGGGCUGAGGUAGGAGAAUCGCUUGAACCCAGGAGGCAGAGGUUGCAGUGAGCCAAGAUCACGCCAUUGCUCCAGCCUUGGCAACAAGAACAAAACUCUGUCUCAAUAAAUAAAUAAAUAAAUAAAUAAAUAAGUAUUACUUUCAAUUGCAAGUGAGGAAUAGAUUAUAGGGAUGUCAGGUGGCUUGUGACUUUGUCACCAACAGAAAGCACAUGCAUCUUGAUAUCACUUUACAAUUGUUGCAGGCAUUUGAAAUAUUGUUUCAGCUCAUAUUUUGGAAUGAUGGUAAUGUUUAGGCUGCCACUAGAUCUUGUCAUUUAAUGUGCUAACAAAGUACAUAUAUUACUAUAUUGCAAAUGCAAGUAUUUAAAAAUAUUUUGGUAACUAUAUUUUAAUAUUACUGGCUUCCUUAGAAAUCUUAUCUAUUUUACCUCCUUCUUUGAAAUGUGCUAUUUGGAGGAGUCCAUAGGUUUCCCAGGCUGGCAACAGGCCCACACAAAAGGUUAAAGACCCCUGCUCUAAAAGAAGAUGAGUUAGCAUAGAUGAAUUUCAUUUUAUUGGGAGAAUUUAAGGCAGUGUGAAAAAGCGAAGAAUUUUCAUAAUGAGGAGAAGGUAAUUCUGCAUAUUUGUCAAGGUUUCCAGGAGCUAGAAGAGAUCUUAGAGAGAAACAGCUUUCCUUGUUAUUAAAUCAACUUCUUUUGCCAUAAUUUAUAUACAGUAAAAUGCACCAAUUUAAAGUGUUGCAACCCUAUGAGCUCUAACAAAAUACUUGCAUAAUCACCAGUACAGUUAAAUUACACAAUAUUCCCUUGGCUGGGCACGGUGGCUCAUGCCUGUAAUCCCAGCACUUUGGGAGGCCAAGGCAGGCGGAUCACUUGAGGUCAGGAGUUCGAGAGCAGCCUGACCAACAUGGAGAAACCCUGUCUCUACUAAAAAUACAAAAAUUAUCUGAGCGUGGUGGUGCAUGCCUGUAAUCCCAGCUACUCGGGAGGCUGAGACAGGAGAAUCGCUUGAACCUGGGAGGCAGAGGUUGCGGUGAGCCGAGAUUGCGCCAUUGCGCUCCAGUCUGGGCAACAAGAGCAAAAAUCCGUCUUAAAAAAAAAAAAGAAAAAAAAAGUACACGAUAUUUCCGUCACCCCCAAAAUAUCGGUUUUAUGCAUCUUUAUAAUCUCUACCAUCCCAAACAUAAAUAACCAUUGAUCUAUUUUUUAUUACUGUACAUUAGUUUAGUCUUUUUUUUUAACAUUUUAUAUAAAUGGAAUAAAACAGAAUAUACCACAAUUGUUUGAUGGACAUUUGGGUUGUUUUCAGUUUUUGUUUAUCACAAAUAAAGCUACUGUGAACAUUCUUUCUGCAGACACAUUUUCAUUUCUCCUGCAACAAAACCUAGGAGUAGAGUUAUUGAGUCAUAUAGUAAGUUAAUGUUUACCUUUAAGAGAAACAGCUUUCCUUGUUGUUAAAUCAACUCUAUUCUGCCAUAAUUUAAAUACAAUAAAAUGCACCCAUUUAAAGUGUUACAACCCUAUGAGCUCUAAUAAAUGUAUAUACUUGCAUAACCACCAGUACAAUUAAAGGACACACUUGUUUAUUACAAAUAAAGCUACUGUGAACAUUCUUUCACAAGAUACAAAAUGAUACAAUCAUUUUGUAUUCCCAAGA